rnacentral:lncRNA from 1 species
GAAAAUCAGUUUGGAAGUAAUAUUUGUGUAGAAUCAUCUCUUGAGGUUGUUAAUGGAGAGCAAUACUUAGAUUCGAGUAUUGCGGUUUGUGUACAUUUUAAGAUUGUAUUAAAUAAUGUUUGAAUUCACAUGUACCAUUUGAGAGAUUCGUAUGUACGAGUUGCGGAAAACAUAUGUAGAUGUUGAGGAUAAAUUAAGUGUACUCAUUAAACUACUAAUUUAUUAUUUAUUAUGCAUGUGUAUUUUGGGGAGACUGUCA